rnacentral:rRNA from 1 species
AUGAUUCGUGGGACGUCCUGCCGGUGGUGGCGAGUCGAAAGCGCGCUCCCGGUGUGGCUUGUCCACGUCGGUUCUUGCGCGCCUAGGCGGACCCCGAUGAAAUCCUACCGCGGUGCUCUUCGCCGAGUGUCGAGGUGGGCCGGCACGUUUACUUUGAACAAAUUAGAGUGCUUAAAGCAGGCCUGUUGCGCCUGAAUACUGUGUGCAUGGAAUAAUGGAAUAGGACCUCGGUUCUAUUUUGUUGGUUUUCGGAACCCGAGGUAAUGAUUAAUAGGGACAGGCGGGGGCAUUCGUAUUGCGACGUUAGAGGUGAAAUUCUUGGAUCGUCGCAAGACGGACCGAAGCGAAAGCAUUUGCCAAGUAUGUUUUCAUUAAUCAAGAACGAAAGUUAGAGGUUCGAAGGCGAUCAGAUACCGCCCUAGUUCUAACCAUAAACGAUGCCAGCUAGCGAUCCGCCGAAGUUCCUCCGAUGACUCGGCGGGCAGCUCCCGGGAAACCAAAGCUUUUGGGUUCCGGGGGAAGUAUGGUUGCAAGCUGAACUUAAAGGAAUUGACGGAAGG